GGGGCUAUAGUGUAACCUGGUAUCACAUGCGGUUCGGGGCCGCAUAAUCGGGGUUCGAAUCCUCGUAGCCCCG
rnacentral:tRNA from 1 species